AAUUAACAUUAUACUCAUCAUAAACCAUCUUGAGAUACUGCAUGGAACUAAACAUUAUGUACGAAAAUAUUGAUUGUGGUGUUCAAACCUAAUAUAAAAUAAGAACUUGUAGUUACAAACUAAGUACCAACACCAGGACUGUUUUGACACAAUUUCACCUGAUUAGUGAAAGAAAGUUAUUUUUAGUUCAAAAAUACCUUCUUACUGUUUUCCAGACAUAUGGACAGACGUUUAUAUCAGACGACACGUUUCUGUCCACCAUCGGUUCUGUAGCUGGAGCUGUUCAUGCCCUUAGCCGAGUGAUUGUGGGCUUAAUUCAUGACAAAUUAUCUUACAAGUUAACGAUGCUCCUCUUGCUGGGAAUAAAGACAGUAUUGCUGUUCACUCUGGUAGCGACACCUUAUGGAGGAAAAGUGACGUACAUUAUAUAGAAUUUGUGGCCUCUUUGCUACAUUUCCUCUUGUUUUUGUCUGUAUUCUGGCCGCUGUUGCUGAAGUUUGUGGAACGAAAUACACUGCUGAAAUUUUUGGAAUGGUAUUCUUUGCAUCAACAACUUGUUUCUUUCUCUGGCCUUUAGUC